rnacentral:lncRNA from 1 species
GUGGGUUGACUCAUUUUUGUUGGAGUCGACUCAAGAUCCUAGUAGGUUGGCUCAUUUGCUGAUGAAUCGACUCAAUUGUGCAUUCUAGAUCUAUAGAUUUCUAUUUGUCUCAGUGUGUAACGACUCACUAUGACAAAUCAAUUCGUGUACCAAGAUGAAUCGAUUCGACUAUGCAAACAACCAUAUUGUAUGGGAUACAAUAUAAAUUAUUUGAUUAGAAAAUGU